UACGUAGGGGGCAAGCGUUGUCCGGAUUUAUUGGGCGUAAAGAGCGUGUAGGCGGCCAGAUAGGUCCGUUGUGAAAACUGGAGGCUUAACCUCCAGCUGUCGAUGGAAACCAUCUGGCUAGAGUCCGGAAGAGGAGAGUGGAAUUCCUGGUGUAGCGGUGAAAUGCGCAGUUAUCAGGAAGAACACCCGUGGCGAAGGCGGCUCUCUGGGACGGUACUGACGCUGAGACGCGAAAGCGUGGGGAGCGAACAGG
rnacentral:rRNA from 1 species